GAGAUACGGCCUCGUGGGAAGGGAAAGACCUGACCGUCCCCCAGCCCGACACCCGUAAAGGGUCUGUGCUGAGGAGGAUUAGUAAAAGGGGAAGGCCUCUUGCAGUUGAGAUAAGAGGAAGGCCUCCGUCUCCUGCAUGUCCUUGGGAAUGGAAUGUCUUGGUGUAAAACCCGAUAGUACAUUCCUUCUAUUCUGAGAGAAGAAAACCACCCUGUGGCUGGAGGGUGAAGGUACUCUACAGUGUGGUCAUUGAGGACAAGUUGACGAGAGAGUCCCAAGUACGUCCACGGUCAGCCUUGCGACAUUUAAAGUUCUACAAUGAACUCACUGGAGAUGCAAAGAAAAGUGUGGAGAUGGAGACACCCCAAUCGACUCGCCAGUCUACAGGUGUAUCCAGCAGCUCCAAAGAGACAGCAACCAGCAAGAAUGGGCCAUAGUGACGAUGGUGGUUUUGUCAAAAAGAAAAGGGGGGGAUAUGUAAGGAAAAGAGAGAUCAGACUUUCACUGUGUCUAUGUAGAAAAGGAAGACAUAAGAAACUCCAUUUUGAUCUGUACUAAGAAAAAUUGUUUUGCCUUGAGAUGCUGUUAAUCUGUAACUUUAGCCCCAACCCUGUGCUCACGGAAACAUGUGCUGUAAGGUUUAAGGGAUCUAGGGCUGUGCAGGAUGUACCUUGUUAACAAUAUGUUUGCAGGCAGUAUGUUUGGUAAAAGUCAUCGCCAUUCUCCAUUCUCGAUUAACCAGGGGCUCAAUGCACUGUGGAAAGCCACAGGAACCUCUGCCCAAGAAAGCCUGGCUGUUGUGGGAAGUCAGGGACCCCGAAUGGAGGGACCAGCUGGUGCUGCAUCAGGAAACAUAAAUUGUGAAGAUUUCUUGGACAUUUAUCAGUUUCCAAAAUUAAUACUUUUAUAAUUUCUUACACCUGUCUUACUUUAAUCUCUUAAUCCUGUUAUCUUUGUAAGCUGAGGAUAUACGUCACCUCAGGACCACUAUUGUACAAAUUGAUUGUAAAACAUGUUCACAUGUGUUUGAACAAUAUGAAAUCAGUGCACCUUGAAAAUGAACAGAAUAACAGUGAUUUUAGGGAACAAAGGAAGACAACCAUAAGGUCUGACUGCCUGAGGGGUCGGGCAAAAAGCCAUAUUUUUCUUCUUGCAGAGAGCCUAUAAAUGGACGUGCAAGUAGGAGAGAUAUUGCUAAAUU
rnacentral:lncRNA from 10 species